GAGAGAGAUAAGCCUUAAUCUGAGAGACUGCUAACCUCUCGAAUCCGCGGUUGAAGUCCGCGGCUCGCUCG
rnacentral:tRNA from 1 species